GCAGCUAGGACCUGAUUUUCUGAGAGGCCAGAGACAAGAGCUCUGGGCCCUUUGAUUUCCCAGGAUGCCUGGAGGAGAGUCAUUUCCUGCCCCUGAUCUGGCCUCUGCUUUGGUACCAGAACAUGCGCCCUCAUGCUCAGCUACACUGGACUGACAGACUCUGCUUCUCCUCAGCUGCCCAAGUGUGCCCUGAGUACCAACUGGGAGUAUCCUGCCUCCAAUUACCACAAAGCACCAUGAAGCCCACUGACUAUCACAAAGCAAGCAGCUUCAUCCAUUAUGUCUCUGCCUUGCCAUGGGCUUAAAAGCAAAACAACUAACUGACCACAGGCUGACACCUCUGAAGCUGUCCAAGCUGCCGAAGGGAGGGAGCCACCUUGUGCCCCCAGUUUGGCAUGGAGGUGAGAAGGGCAUGUGGACAGCAGCCACUGGAAAGGUGCCUGCACCAGACCCUGGCUCGGGUCCCAGCUUGAGCUUGGGACGGCAGUGGCAACCAGGGAAGGUGGACAACACUGAGCCAAGUGUUUGACUCUAAACAUUGGAAAGAGUCACAGAACAAAUCCAAUGGAGCAAGAUGAAGAGAAGAAUGAGGAUAAGGGAGAGAGGACACAUACAACAGAGAAGACUGGCUGAGUGGCUGUGGGAGACCUAGAGACAAGAAUGUGAACCUCCUCAUUGAUGGGAGGUCCUGCCCCUGCUAGCUCCUCCCAGUCCCCUCUGUGAACACCCAGCCCCCUGCCAAUCUCCACCUGUCCUCCCUUGAUCCAGGGAGGAUGUUUUCAGUCUUGAGACUCCUUCCUGCCCUAGUUCCAUGUGCAGAUCUCCUGAGGACUCAGAGGAGAGCUGGAGAGAUCAGGUACCACCAGGAUUGCUGACUGAGCCACGAGACUGCCACUGUCACCUGGCAAGUUGGCUUGGUCUUCUGGUUUCUUGGGCCUUUCUACAGCCAUGAAGUAGCUAUAGGCCAGAGCAGCAUCUCAGGCUUCGAUGGGGAUUAGACAAGAGGACAACAGCUGGCCUGCUAGACUGAUACCCACCUCAGCUUGCUCACCCUGUGGUGUGUCCCAAGGAGCCUCACACCAACACCAAAGAAGGUGUUAGAGAUCAAAGGAGGCAGCCAUUUUCAUCAUGGUGCCUGUGACCUUUGGUCUUCAUAGAAUUGAUGAAGCUCAGCUCCGUGUGCAUGUGGGGCAUUCCAGUGAGGACUGACAUGAGAUGGCAAUGACAUCCACAUCUUCAAAUGGGCUGGAAGCAGGGACCAAAAAAAGUCAGAGGAAAACAGCUUAUGUGCAUGUACAGCUUUCUUUCUUGAAUUGAUGUGGCUGCCGCCAUUAGACUCCAGCUCUUUCAUCCUUUCAACUUGGACUCAACACCACUGACUCUCUAGGGAGAUUCCAGGUUUUCAGUGCCAGACAAGGAUUGCCAAGACAUCCAGUUUCUUUGACUGGAGAGCUACCGGGUUCUCAGUCCCUUGGGCAUGCACAUAGCCAUUGUUGGAUUACUAGCCCUUAUCCUGUAAACCAAGCCAAUAAACUGUAUUUUACAAGA